AAGCGUAGGAAAUCUGCCUUGUAGUGGGGGACAACCUGGGGAAACUCAGGCUAAUACCGCAUACGCUCGCGAGAGGAAAGCGGGGGAUCUUCGGACCUCGCGCCGCAAGAAGAGCCUACGUCCGAUUAGCUAGUUGGUAGGGUAAAAGCCUACCAAGGCGACGAUCGGUAGCUGGUCUGAGAGGAUGAUCAGCCACACUGGGACUGAGACACGGCCCAGACUCCUACGGGAGGCAGCAGUGGGGAAUAUUGGACAAUGGGCGCAAGCCUGAUCCAGCAA
rnacentral:rRNA from 1 species